rnacentral:lncRNA from 1 species
GUGGGUGGCCGUUGCUGAUCAGCACCUUUUACUUCCACUUAGCACCAUGUUAGGCCCAGGAGAGGAAAUGGAUGGACCCUUGACUCUAUUUGUGAUAAGAAUUGGACAAAAUGAUGCCUGCAAAGUGUUCAGUGGCACUUGAGGGAAGAGUAGCCACUGUCCUGCUUUUUGCCUGGGGCAGGCCUGGUGCUGCAGGAUCUGGGCAGAGGCCUCCUUGAUCGUCCCCACCCAUCAGAUUCUUCAUGGGGCACCUGCUGCACACAGAGGGACAGGAAUCUUACUGAACACCUAGUAUAUGCCAGAGCCUACACACACAGUGGGCUACUCAACAUUCACAACAACUCUGUACAGUAAGUACAAAUAUUGGUCCCAAGAUACAGAUUGGGAAACUGAGGCUUAUACCAGUUAUGUGUUGUGCCCAAGGUCACCAAGCUGGAUGAGGACUGACGCCUGUCUGGAGCCUAAAUUCUUUCUCCUACACCAGAUUGACUUCCAGAGAGUUCUAGGAUACAAAGCUGGCAACAGACUUUCUGCCACGUAGAGGGAUAUGGCAGGUGACAACCCUGUCUGGCUCUGCUAAUCAGGAUCCAGUAAGAAGCUCAAGACAGGUGGCCACUCUGCUGGUAGGCAGAGGAGGGAGCUGUGCUCCCUGGGGUGGGUAGAAGUAAGGUUUGUGUGGGUGCUGGGUGUUGGACACGGGCAGGCUGCAGACAUAGCAGCAAUGAGGGGAGACUCUCUCAACCUGCCCAUGUCCUCCUCUGAGCAAUCUCCCCGCCCCAGAAUUAUUUCAGUUUCCUCAUCUGUCAGUUCUAGGGGUGGACUUCAUUCAUUCAAUACUGUGUCCCUGACCUCUGCUCCCUGCCAGGCUCUGAACUAGUCAUGUGUCAGGCUGGAUACUUAGAUGGACAAGACAAGCCAUCCCCUGCCCACAGCUGCCCCACCUGAAGUCUAGGCCAGUGACCUCCGAAGUUUUUUUGAUCAUGUGCCCUUAGCAAUAAAAAAGAUUGUUGAGU